rnacentral:rRNA from 1 species
UUCAUAAACAACCAGGAUGUUGGCUCAGAAGCAGCCACCAUUUAAAGAGUGCGUAAUAGCUCACUGGUCGAGAGACGCUGCGCCGAAAAUGUCCGGGGCUCAAGCACGGAACCGAAGCUAUGGCAGACGCAAGUCUGGGUAGGGGAGCGUUCUUAUAGGGAAGAAGCAUUACCGUAAGGAGAUGUGGACAUAUAAGAAGUGAGAAUGCCGGUAUGAGUAUCGAAAAGAAAGGUGAGAAUCCUUUCCACCGAAAGCCCGAGGGUUCCUGAGUAACGAUCGUCGACUCAGGGUAAGUCGGGACCUAAGCCGAGGCGAAGACGCAUAGGCGAUGGACAACAGGUUGAAAUUCCUGUACCGGAUAUGGCCGUUACCAGCGAUGGAGCGACGCAGAAGGGCACAUGAUCGCGCGACUGGAAGAGCGCGUCCAAGUGAGUAUGUUGGUGAGGAGGCAAAUCCCCUCACCUGAAAGCAGAGACAUGAUGGGGAGUUAAAGGCGACUUUGACGAACUCAUGGAUCCCACACUGCCAAGAAAAACUUCUAGCGAGGACAUAUCCGCCCGUACCGUAAACCGACACAGGUAGGCGGGGAGAGAAUCCUAAGGUGCGCGGGAAAACCCUCGUUAAGGAACUCGGCAAAUUGCAUCCGUAACUUAGGGAGAAGGAUGACCCUCUGUAGGCGAAGGGCAGAAACGCCCGGAACCGAAAAGGGUGGCAGAAAAGAGGCCCAAGCAACUGUUUACCAAAAACACAGGUGCCUGCGAAAGCGAAAGCUGAAGUAUAGGUGCUGACGCCUGCCCGGUGCUGGAAGGUUAAGGAGAGAGGUUAGCGUAAGCGAAGCUUUGAACUGAAGCCCCAGUGAACGGCGGCCGUAACUAUAACGGUCCUAAGGUAGCGAAAUUCCUUGUCGGGUAAGUUCCGACCCGCAUGAAAGGCGUAAUGAUUUGGGCACUGUCUCAACGAGGGGCCCGGUGAAAUUGAAAUACCUGUGAAGAUGCAGGUUACCCGCGACUGGACAGAAAGACCCCAUGGAGCUUCACUGCAGCUUGAGAUUGAAUCUCGGUGACAGAUGCACAGGAUAGGUGGGAGGCUGAGAAGCAUUGACUUUGGUUGAUGCAGAGCCGCUGUUGGGAUACCACCCUUCUGUUGCUGAGAUUCUAACACGGAGACUAACAACCUCGUGGACCAUCUCAGGCAGGCGGUUUGACUGGGGCGGUCGCCUCCGAAAGAGUAACGGAGGCGCCCAAAGGUUCCCUCAGGCCGGACAGAAACCGGCCGAAGAGUGCAAAGGCAGAAGGGAGCUUGACUGCGAGACAGACAAGUCGAGCAGAGACGAAAGUCGGGCUUAGUGAUCCGGUGGUACUGUGUGGAAAGGCCAUCGCUCAACGGAUAAAAGCUACCCUGGGGAUAACAGGCUAAUCUCUCCCAAGAGUUCAUAUCGACGGGGAGGUUUGGCACCUCGAUGUCGGCUCAUCACAUCCUGGAGCUGGAGUAGGUUCCAAGGGUUGGGCUGUUCGCCCAUUAAAGUGGUACGCGAGCUGGGUUCAAAACGUCGUGAGACAGUUUGGUUCAUAUCCAUCGCGGGCGUAAGAAGUUUGAGGGAGGCUGCUCCUAGUACGAGAGGACCGGAGUGGACGGAUCAACGGUGUACCAGUUGUCGCGCCAGCGGCACGGCUGGAAAGCCGCAUCCGGAAAGGAUAAACGCUGAAAGCAUCUAAGCGUGAAGCCCGUCCCGAGAUGAGACUUCU